GAUGCCCACACCUGCUGGUCUCACCGCGAAGGCCUGGGCGUCACAGGCAGGGGGAAUGGGGAGGGGACGGUAGCGUCAGCCUAGACCCACACGCAGAAGCUGACAAUGACUGUUGGGCUUUUCCAAUGAAUACCAGAACACCAUUUCCUGCAGCCUGAAAAGAAGACAGUAUAAUUAUUUGGCAGCAAGAGAAACCAGGUGCCCUACCAUGAGAAACCCAAGCCAUGUGGAGAAGCCACAUCUAGGGACUCCAGUUAACACUCUCAGCUGAGUUCCCAGCUGACAGUCAGCAUCAACUGCCAGCCACCUCUGCCUAAAAGUGGGCCAUCUUGGGCAUCCGGCCCAGUCAAGCCUUCAGAUGAGUCCAGUCCCAGCUACUAUCUCACACAACCACACGAGAGACAUCAAGAACUCCCAGUGGAGUCCAGUCAGCCCAUGGAACUGUAAGAGACAGGAUCUCACUGUGUUGCUCAGACUGGUCUCGAACUCCUGGGCUUAAGGGAUUAUCCUGCCUCAAUCACAGUCUCCCAAGUAGCUGAGAUUACAAGUGCUCACCACCGUGCCAGCCAGUUCAGUUUUUGAGGGUGGAGCCAAGACUCUGAGGAGAGGGCUGAACUGUGAACCUAGAAGUACCAUCUCCCCCUGCACACGCCUUUGGUCAAGUUGACCCCAAGAAGAAGGACAAGUCCUCUGCACACCGAUGACACCAUACACACAGUCUGUGGCCCGGCUUUGGGAGACUGAUGGGACAAAGGAUGCUUUGCAUGAUCCUUGGUCUCUGAGCAAAUAUAUACGUGGGUUAACACAAA
rnacentral:lncRNA from 1 species